UGGGAAGGGCGGCCGGUGCAGCCGCAGCUGCCAUCUUAGGGGCGCCUUGCGCUGCGGCUUUCUCGGUGGAGGCGGCCUUCUUGGCAGCGGUAGACGUCGGGAAAAGGCAGAAAGUCCGUUGGCCGACACCUUUCUUUCCUCCGGCCUCGGCAGGACCGCCAGCCCGCGUCCGAAGGCGGAGGCGAGGGGAACUGGCCGCGUGAGGGGCCUGAGGCCAGCGGUUAGAGCGUCGCCCGGAAGGAUGGGCCGGUCUCGGAGCCGGAGCUCGUCCCGCUCCAAGCACACUAAGAGCAGCAAGCACAACAAGAAGCGCAGCCGGUCCCGGUCGCGAUCCCGGGACAAGGAGCGCGUGCGGAAGCGUUCCAAAUCUCGGGAAAGUAAACGGAACCGGCGGCGGGAGUCGCGGUCCCGCUCGCGCUCCACCAACACGGCCGUGUCCCGGCGCGAGCGGGACCGGGAGCGCGCCUCGUCCCCGCCCGACCGCAUCGACAUCUUCGGGCGCACGGUGAGCAAGCGCAGCAGCCUGGACGAGAAGCAGAAGCGAGAGGAGGAGGAGAAGAAAGCGGAGUUCGAGCGGCAGCGAAAAAUUCGACAGCAGGAAAUAGAAGAAAAACUCAUUGAGGAAGAAACAGCACGAAGAGUGGAAGAAUUGGUGGCAAAAAGGGUGGAGGAAGAACUGGAGAAAAGGAAGGAUGAAAUUGAACGAGAAGUUCUCCGAAGGGUGGAGGAAGCCAAACGCAUCAUGGAAAAGCAGUUGCUCGAAGAACUCGAGCGACAGAGACAAGCUGAGCUUGCAGCACAAAAAGCUAGAGAGGUAACGCUCGGUCGUUUGGAAAGUAGAGACAGUCCAUGGCAAAACUUUCAGUGUUGGGUUCUGCCUCCUGCUCAGUUCAGAAAGAGAUGGAAUACAGACUAUCUAAUUCCUUUCUCGUCUAAACUUAACAUUGCUGCGAAAGUUAAUUUUUUAGCCUAUUCAGAAGUGCUGACUGAUAACUUAAAAGUUGGAAGCUUUCAUAAAACAUAUUCAAGGAUACUUUUUGAUUUAAUGGAACUGGCUAUUUGAGAAGUGUUUGAAACUUUUGCCAUGGCUGCAGGACUUACAUUCUUUUUUGGGAGGACGGUGGGGAGACAGGGAGUGGUAAAGGGAAAAGGUUAAAAAUCCACCUGUGGUUGUAUAUUCUUCUAUUCUAUCGCUCUGUUACCUAGACUGUGAGAGGCUUUUGCCUUCAGUCAGAUUAAAAAGAGCAGGGCCUAACAUUGAGUGAUAGCACCUGCUUUGAUAAAUAGGUUUUCUCACUCUUCUUUUUUUCCUUCUUUUAUCCCUCACUCCCUCCCCUAAACCCUGCUUCAGCACAAUGGACUAAUUCUAGCAUUCCGAUCAUAAGGCCCUCCAUUUUCCUAAUGUGUUUCAAGGAAUCUUUUUAGGAAAAAUAUCCAGAUUAUUUAUCCACUUUUUUUAGUAUCUACUAACAACUCCUUUUUUUCUCUAGAGAGUUAUGAAGGAACAGGUUGUCCUUGUCUGGAGUCAAGCUAAACACAUGAUUUGUUUUAUCAGCAGCUGGAGCAGAAGUUGAAAAUGUCUUUCUGUGAGACAGUAAUUUGCUACUGAAGCUUUAUAGCUUGUUUGCACUGAUUACUCCAGGAUCCAAAAACUUGGUGAAAGUCACUGAAACACUCAAGGCAAAUUACUUUACAGCCCUGAGUGUCUUAUCACCAUAGUUUGCAUACUGAAUAUGAAUCCCAUUGGUGUGUGACCUAGGAAAUCCUGUAGUUGUUUUCUUGAACUGAAAUAUUUGACUCAAAAUAAUUAAGACUCAUUGUCAUUUUUCAUCUUGGCAUUAUUGUGGACAAGUUGACAUAUUAAAUCUCUUUGCUUUCUGGUAAGCUUAGCUUUUAAAAUGCAUUUUCCCUUGUCCUGUCUUUAACUAGAUAUGCAUGCUUAUAUUUAUAGUGGGUUUCACAGACUAUAAAAUUGAAUGUAUGAAAUUUUUAUUUAUAUCAGUGCUUUUAAUAAUGAAGAUAUUUUUGGAGUAAUGGUGCUGUCUUGUAGCGAGUUAUUAAUCAUAGUAAGAUUUUUUUCUCUUCAUUUGCUUUUUUGUUUCAUAUUAACAAUUUUUUUUUACACGGACACAACUCUCUGACAGUCUUUCCAAAUAUUAAAAUCAUUUGAAUAUGUAUGCUGUGAUCUGAACACUGCCCAAGCCAUCAAGCAGUCUUUAUACAGUUUGCAUUAUAAAAUCUCAUUAAAUUCUCCAAGAAAAAAUAAGUUGAAGAAUUUUAUUUCCUGACCAUGCAUCCCCUGGAUUUCUGAGUUUCAGUUCAGAUUGUAGAUGACAAUAUAAGCUGCCUUCCGAAAUUGUCAACAUCUGAAUGUUAAGUCCAUUUUCCCCAUGGAAGAAGCCCGUAGUUCCAUGAAGUAUGGAUUACCAUUUGUAUUUUUCACUAACAGUAAAUGUAUUUUUCUUAUUAAUUGUUUGCCUUAGGAAUGAUGAAUUACAUUUUUUGUUCCUUCUUACCAUAAACAUCUGCAUUCCUCAGCUCAGCCUUCCUUGUAUGUUGUUUCUUUAUAAAUGGUUGAGCUGCUGAUGCAGGUAUUGCCAAGCUAACAGUACAAAUCAUUUUAAAGAGGAAGCUGGCGCGUAUGGCAGCCGAGGAGCACACUCUGCAGGACACUGGACAAGACAGAGGAAGAACGUGCAAAACGUGAGGAGCUAGAGCGAAUACUGGAAGAGAAUAACCGAAAAAUUGCAGAAGCACAAGCCAAACUGGCCGAAGAACAGUUGAGAAUUGUUGAAGAACAAAGAAAGAUUCAUGAGGAAAGGAUGAAACUAGAACAAGAACGGCAACGUCAACAAAAAGAAGAACAAAAAAUUAUCCUGGGCAAGGGGAAGUCCAGGCCAAAACUGUCCUUCUCAUUAAAAACCCAGGAUUAAAUUGCAAACUCUGAACUUUUUACAAAGAAAAAUGGAAAAACUUUGUAUGGUAGCUUCAUGUUGAAGUGGUUUUUUGUUUUUGUUUUUGUUUUCGUUUUUUUAAUUUGUAAAAUCUGGAAAUUUAGCUUGUUCUAAUAGGGGCUAUGCUCUGCAACUCCCUUUUUUUUUUUUCUUUCCUUCCACUAAGUCAAAUCCUUAUCAGAUCAUUGUUGUCUUCUAAAGAGUGACAUAUUUUUCACCUGUUUGGAUUCUAUAUUAGUGGUCUGAGGAAGAGCAGAUCACAUUGUAAAACUAUGGAUGGUCUGAUAAGGCUUUUACUGACCCCACUGACUUCAGAGUUAUACUCUGCUACAUCAUAAUGCUGGUUUUGCUGACUUUUUGUUUUUUUAUAUAUUUAUAAAAAAAGAAAAAGUUGGUGAUUGCAUUGGGAAAUUCCCAGGGUAUUACUGGACCUAUGUGGUGUAUUGUUAAACCAGUGUCCUUGUGAUACUGUUGCUCUUGAUGUUCCUGAUACAGGUAAGGAAACAGUUGGUCACCUCUGAUACAAAGUACAUAUACAGUUCAGUAUUGGUCUCUGUUCAGUUUGUUUUUAUUUCAUUGACAAACUCAAACCAGCAUUCCCCAUUGUGUAAAUAAAUGAUUUUGCUGAAUAAAGUAAAGUCUUAAAUUCAUAUGUUGAAGCAAUUUUUUUUAAAGUUAUGUUAAGUCUUAAAGAGGGUGGUUCACUUUUUGAUGGUCAACCAUUUAGAAGUCUUAGAACUAUAUUUUCUCUUGUUUAUGCUUUUAACAUAGGGUUUAUAUGUACAUCUAAUAUACUUGUGAAUUAGUAUUUAAUGGCUAUUUUUACAAAUAUCAACUUUAUGCUGAUAGAGCAAAUGGCAUCAGUGUUACCUUUAAGAAAGACUGACAACACCCAGAAGAUUUAAAUUCUCAAACCUGUGCCUCUGUUUUAGGAUAUAAGUAUUAUCACAAAUUAUACUUAAUAAAGGCUAGAAAAAAGCUUUUAAAUUAUGGAAUCAGAUCAUUUUAGAGUGGGCCAUCAGAAAGAACUUAGCUUUAUACUGUCAAAAAAAGGCUAAGAUGGUCAAGUCAUUUUCAUUGUGUAGUGUACUUGCACGUUUAUUUUUAGGACAAACACAUUCGAACUUUUGAAGUUUUUUUGUUUUGUUUUGUUUUUGCAUGUGGAAUCUUACGGAUGGCUUUCAUUUUUUACACUAGAAUCUGCCUCAUUUACUCUUACAUAUGUUUAAGUAUACUGGCAUUAAAACAUUCGAGAAAAGGAUAUUGAUCUGAAAUGCUACCUGAGAUGCAUAAACAUGUCAUCAAGUAGAGAAAAUGUUGCCCAAUAUUUUUGAGACAGUUUGAUUAUUCUUAAAAAUUGAAAACCUAAGUUAAUGAGAUGACUAAAUGGUAGAUUAUUUUGUGUGUGCAUGCUAAGAAAAAAUGCUAUUGCUUUAGUUUUGAGCUCUUCAAUGAGUCUAAUUGUGGUAAGGAACAAUAUAAAAUCAGUUUAAAGAUCUUUAAAGGUAGAAUUUUAAAUAGGCAUGAACUAUAGUGAGAACUUUUGGUAAACAUGCUACCUACUCUAAAAUCAAACAUUUUAUUUUCUUAAAGAAUAUAGGUUGCCUAAAAACACUUUAUCUCUAAAUAUAGGUUAGCUGUAAUUAUUUCAUGAUUCUUUUUUUUUUUUUUUUUCUCCAAUGUAACUUUUUUUGGUGCAGAUUCAUGGUUCCUAAGUUCUGUAUUCAAGUUUUUGGAAAUGUUUAUUUAAAAACUGUUCUAUACAAGUGUUCAAAACAUUGUAUCUAAAGAGAGUGGCCUGGACUUAAAAUAUUUGAAAUCAGCUUAUGCGUGCCUUUUAAUUUUUUUUUUUUUUUUAAGUUUCUUACUGCCACAUAUGGUGUGAAAUGACAGUAAGUUGCUUAAUGACAUACUGCAGUAUCUGCUUGCUGUUGGAGACUCAGAUGAGAUGUUGAAAUUGUUCCUGUGCUUGGUAACUAUUCUCUGCCAGGCUAUGGGAAAGAGGAUGUAAUUGUUAAUAAUAUACACCAUCCAGUCUUUAAUGUGCUGCAACAAUGUAGUAAUUUGUUUUUUUCAUUUGUUCCCACUGCCUUUGUGUACAUAGAAAACUUAAAAAUUUCCCCCAAUCUAUUAGCAGUUAAGAUGUUCCCUAAUUUAUUAAAUAUGCCUUUAUUCACAAUUUGUUUUUUUAGGUUAUUCUUAAUGCAUUAUAGAAUUAACUAUGACUUUGUUUAUUUUUAUUACAGUAUGUAGUUAUUGACAUAUUGUGGUUUGCAGAAUUAUCAAUUGUAUAAACUAAACCUUUAAAUUA